CGGUGGCCGACUUUGUCAUGCCUUUCUUCCUCUUCAUCGUCGGAGUCGCCUUGGCGCUCGCGUACAAGAGAGUCCCGGACAAGUUGGACGCCUCGAGAAAGGCAUUGCUCCGUGCGCUGACGCUGUUUUGUCUUGGUCUUGGUCUUGUUCUACAAGGUGGAUUCUUUCAUGGUGUUCGUAGUCUAAGUUUUGGGGUUGACCUUCGAGAAAUACGGCUGAUGGGUGUACUGCAG